ACUAGUUGGUAAGAGAAAAACAUUCCAGUCUCUUGGAUCAAAUUCUCUUCUUUUGUAAAUGCUGUUCAGUUUAAAGUGAGAAUAUUAGAACUUAGGUAGACUUAAGAGAUCCUAGAGAUGUAUCACCUUGGCUCCAAAUUCCUGCUCUCUCUUCUGAGUUUCACUGUGAAUUGCAACCUGUUCUUAGAAGCAACAGUUUCCCCCUCUUCAGGGCCCCGAGUCAAAUCCAGCUAUACUUUUGGUCGGACCUUUUUGGGACUUGAUAAGUGCAAUGCCUGCAUUGGAACAUCCAUUUGCAAGAAAUUCUUUAAAGAAGAAAUAAGGUUUGACAGUUGGCUCUCCUCACAUUUAACCCUCCCUCCAAGCUCUCUCUCCCGUUACCCUGGGAACUAUUCAGAUGACAGCAAAAGUUGGCGACUGGUUGAGAUCUCCCGAUUAACCACAAAAUACCAACAUGACGAGUCUGAUGAGAGAAUUUGCACUUCCCUUACCCAGGCUAAAAGAUGUAGCAUUGAGAGGGCUCUAUGGAAGACAGAAAGAUUCCAGAAAUGGCUCAAAGCAAAGCGCCUGACCCCUCUCUUGGUCCAGGGCCUUCGUACACCAAUGCUUCGCUGUCCAUCACAAAGAUUGUUGGAUCGAAUAGUGCGGCGAUAUGCUGAAGUUCCAGAUGCUGGUAGUGUCUACAUGGACCAUUUUACAGACCGGGAUAAACUGCGUCUCCUCUACAUGUUGUCUAUUAACACUCAUCCCAUUAUUUUACAGAUUUUCCCUGGAGCAGAAGGAUGGCCCUUUCCAAAAUAUUUGGGAUCCUGUGGCCGACUAAUAGUAACAGCCAGUACUAGACCUCUGAAGGAAUUUUAUGGCUCAUCUUCUGAUGUGACAGUGGAUUUAGCUCUUCAGCUCCUCACUAUUAUUGAUUUCAUGAUGAAUAAUGACCUGAACUAUUUCUUCUACUUUACUCAUGUUGAUGCUGACACCUUUGGUGUUUUCAACAAUGGACAACUCUUUAUCCAGGAUGCCAGCAUGCUAGGAGUCAUUGACAAACAAGAAGGCAGAGACUUGAUGAAUAGACAACAGAAAUACAAGGAUAUAUUUAGCUGCUUAGCUGUGGAUUGUGAGCCUGUGCUCCCUUCCUGUAGUUCCAUCAAGAAAAGCCAGAACCUCAUCAUGGUAUGUGAGAAACUUUUGCCCAAUCUCUUAAAACAAAAAUUCCAAUCACCUCUGCAGGAGAAGAUUAACAGUGCUUUAAGUAUCUGUGCAGACAGCUUUCUUUCUGAUCAAGAGAUUAUCACAACAACUCAACUGCUAGUAGACAUUUUGAAACCUCUGCAGAUUUGCGAUUCCCGUUUUGUUUACCGAUAUCCUGACUGCAAAUAUGGCACAAAACGGUAACUGAAUAUUUUCUUGGAAUCUUUGGGCUAUAAACUACAUGCUUCUUCUGCUCUGGAACCAGCAAAUUCUUCAGAACAUUAGCACUAGGACUUGUAUUGGACAUUGAGUGUCUUCCAGAUUAAAACUCUACUGCUAUUUGCUUUACUUUUUGAGGACUCAUAAAGAAUUGUAGUAUCAUAUGAUUAUAUAUGUCAAGCCUACAUAUUAUUGUUCUUAUUCUCUCAUUUCAUAUUUAUCUCUGUUAUUGAAUUAUUUCAAGAAGAUGUAUUUCUCACAAGGUAUUUUAGAGAGCCAACAUAUUUUAAAAGAAAUAUUGAUUCUUUCUUAAGUUGCUUCCUAUCCAUUCUAUUCAACAAUUCAAAACCCAAUUCCAAAUGAUUUAUACAAGAUCAUUUAUUAUAUUCAGGAUAGCAUCCUCCCCAUUCUACUUAUAAAAGUAGGGGGGGGAGUCCAUUCAUUUAGUACUUGUUCAAAGUUAUAACAGCACCAAUAAAACAAUCCACUUCAUACUUAUUGCAUCAUUCUCAGGGCCAAUAUGAGUGCUUGGCGACUGGCUCACAUUUACAAGAGUGGUAGUGUCCCAGGGUCGCUUGCAGCCUUCUCAGUCAGCUUCCGACAAGCAAAGUCAAUGGGGAAGCUGUCAGGGAAGAUUGCAAGUCAUGGUCAUGUGAUAUCUCACUUAACAAUCACAUGCAUCACUGAACAAUGAAUUUUCCAGUUCCAAUUGUGAUGGUAAUUCAAGGGCUACCUUGAAUUUGAAAUAGUGUAUUUGAAAUAGUUCUUUUUCAAAGGGGAUGAGGAAUAAGAGGAAUUUUAGAUAAUUUAUCUAGAUGUCCUUGAGGUCUUCCAUUAUUAAACAUUUCCAGGGUUCUUCUUACUCUUUUCUUCACUUUUAACAUAUUAGAUAAUGCAUAUAUUAUUUAUCUGUUAACAUAUGAAAUCUACAAAUGUAAUCCCAAAUUCUGAUAACAAAUAUUUUAUUUCAAUCACAAAAUGUAUGGAAAUGAAAUUUCUGAGUCCUGCUCUUCUGGAAGAUAGGAAAGAGACAGUACACAAAUAGAAACAUAAGUAUGGAGGAGAAAGAGAGAGAAUUUUAUUAUGGUCCCAGAUGAGAGUUACAAAUAAAACAUAAUAAUAAAAUAAAAUAAAAACAGGGUAAGCAUGUUACAAUUGGGGAUGGAUUCAUCAAUGGAUCAAUGAAGAUAUGUCUAAUUUUAUAAGGAGUAUAACAGAAUUUGGCUGUGUUCAAGGAAACUAAAUCAUACUAAUCGGAUAACAAUAAUUGUACAGAAAAAAUGCUCAGGAUUUCCUGAGUGUUUUAUCAGGUAAGGAAUUGCAAGAUGAGUCCUAGGAUCCUUACAGAGGGUACAAUACUGUAUAACAAGACAUGAGGUAUAGUUUUAAUAUCCCCCUUGUCUGCAGAGGCACAACUGUAGCUCAUAGGGAACUUCUUUAUAUCAGUCCUCCAAGACUGCUUUGGGAAAAGCUUUGAAGCAUGCUAAAAUUAGUACUCUUUGGAAUUCAAAGACAGUUACAUGAUGUAAACAUCUUGCUGAUUUCAAAAAGGAAGCUUGACUUCUCAGAAAAAUAUUCUUACAUAGAGUAGUCUGGUCCUGUUGGCUUUCCAAGUCUUUAGUAACUUGAAUACACUUGAAGGAAGCUGAUAUCAUAGCAGAGCAGAGCGGGGAAAAUGGAGCUCCAUUGUACCCAUCCAAUUUUGGCUGUCCGGAUGGCCUCAAGGGCCAAAGUUAACCCUGGAGAGGUUGAUGAAGAUAGAGGGGAAGCCCCGUAGAUCCUGAGGAGAAGUGCAAUCUCCCAUUAGAUCCAGGGAAAGCCCCUUGAAACUGGCGGGAGAGAAGACGGCCAUUAAGGCUGAACCAAAGCUGUGACAGCUUGGAAAGAGAAAGGAAGGGGGAAAUCAAGGAGCAGCAUGGCUGUAUUGGGUGAGACUUUUUAAACUUUCUGCUGUGGAAUUUAUCCUGAUUUAAAUUAUAAUGAGUUUGGAAAAGUGGAACUCAAAAGAAAAGGGAGGAGCAGGAUUUACUGCUCUUCGAAAGUAGUGGUGACUAAGUUUCAGAGCCAUUGACCAAUCCAGAAAAGAAUGGAAGAAAUGAUUAUAAAGGAGUUAAUUUUAAAUUAAAGAAUAGUCUGGACUAGUUAUUUUUAAAGGAUUUUAACUGUUUAAAGAUUACUAGAAUAUAUCUUUUAGUGCUUUUUGAGUGUUAUUUGAUUUGAAAUCAUCAAGAAAACAACUUUUAACACAGCUGCCAAAAAAAAGUAAAGAGCAAGGGUGCCCUCUAUUGUUAUGACUACAGAGGCCCUUGGGAACUGUUAGUUACAAAGUGUUUUUUUACAGCUGGCUAUUCAUAACUGUGGGAUGUUUAGAGACAGGCUGUGAGAACACUAAAUACCUUGAGCUGUGGAAUACUGAAAAAAGAAGGAGUAAUGAAUAUUGUGAACCUGAAAGCAGUCUUUUCAUCUUGGUAUGGUUUUGAAGUGAAAGUCUAUAGAUUUGGAUAUACAGUGGGAUUUGGGGCCCUGGUGGAUUACAAAUAUUAAUUGUCAAAGCAAAAGGAAAAUAGUGGUGGUCACUGAGUAUAAAGUACAAAGAAGAAGAAACUAAGAUUAUAUUUGCAACUGCUUUCACUGGACAUAUAAACACAGGUUGUGAAAACAUUGACUCUUGUAUGAGGGGACUUACAAAUACAAAUACGUCUGGUAAGGCGAAAUCAAGAAACAGCUUGGACUGACAUUGGAUACAAGUGGAAUAUCUCUUUUUUUCAGCCUGGGCAGACAUUUAGGGCUCCCAGACACUGUCAGAUACUGUGGAUUACAAUAAAUUAGAGAACUGAUAGACCAAUGUGGAUUACAAAGUUAAAUUGUUAAAAGAAGGAGGACAGAGGAAAACAGCUGUUCCUAAAGAAAUCUUAAAUUGUUGAUGGACUUAUUUGAUUAAUUAUUGAUUAAUUUUGUGGAUUAUAGAGGUAUAUUGCAGACAUAUGACUGUAAAACAGGGGUGAUUGGGAAUCUUAGAUUUUUAGCUAAUGUCUCAGGGUACUAUGCCAGAAAAAUUUAAGGAGGAGACAAAUUCUGUUAUAGUCCUUACAAAAUUAGACAUAUCUUCAUUGAUCCAUUGAUGUCUAGAUAAAAUUAAUUUUUUUUCUCCCUCUUUUAAGACCUUUUGAUCAACAGAAAUGAUAAGUACCUCAAAUAUAUCUAAGAUAAGAAAGAAUGCCUCAUCUACACCAUCUUCUGCAGCAGCAGCAGCCAGUCCAUCCAGUCAAAGAUCUAUAGAAAGUAUGUUCGGUUUGGAGAAAUUAAACUCUUUUCAGAAUAAGCAACUGAUGCUUCAAUCGAUUCAAGAAGCUAUGGUUGAAAACCAAGAAGACAUGGCAAAAAAUCAUGAUGAGAUCAAAAAUGAAAUGGGGGAGAUGAAGGGGGAGAUAUGUAAGAUGGAUGAAAAAAUAGGAAAUUUUCAGCAAAUGAUAGCAAAAAAUGAACAGAGGAUAAAGAAAAUGGAGAAAAAAGCAGAACAAACAGAAAAAACUGGAGGAAGUAGCAUAAGUGGUGGCAUAUCAGCUUCCUCAAUACCUGGAGGAAACUGUCUAUCUAGACCCGUUCCAGUUCGGUUUCAGACCCGGAUACAGCACCGAGACAGCUUUGGUCGUGUUGGUGGAUGACCUCUGGAGGGCCCGGGACAGGGGUUGUUCCUCUGUCCUGGUGCUAUUAGAU